rnacentral:rRNA from 1 species
GACAGAGGAUGCAAGCGUUAUCCGGAAUGAUUGGGCGUAAAGCGUCUGUAGGUGGCUUUUUAAGUCCGCCGUCAAAUCCCAGGGCUCAACCCUGGACAGGCGGUGGAAACUACCAAGCUGGAGUAUGGUAGGGGUAGAGGGAAUUUCCAGUGGAGCGGUGAAAUGCGUAGAUAUUGGAAAGACCACCGAUGGCGAAGGCACUCUACUGG